GCAAAUUCUACAGUGCUUUCCCCUGUAGAUAUUGUCCCAAUGUCUGGGUCAGAGUGCAACCUUGACAAAGAGAUUCGAUGUUCCGUGACUGUAUUUGAAGCGAACGGGGUAAACCAAUCUGGUCCAUCCUCGUUCAGUGAGCCGGUAUAUUUGAUGCGAGACGAAAUGCGACAGUCCAUGGUCUCAAAUGUAUGCGUUAUCAACAACACCUGCUAUUUUGAAUACGAUCAUGAUCCUCUUGACCAAAGAUAUGUUUGUUACCCUGCCUUGGACCCGUUUUCGUGGAAACGUAAUUUGACACUAC